UACGUAGGUGGCAAGCGUUGUCCGGAUUUAUUGGGUUUAAAGGGUGCGUAGGCGGCUUUGUAAGUCAGUGGUGAAAUAUGGCAGCUCAACUGUCAGGGUGCCAUUGAUACUGCGGAGCUUGAGUACAGAUGAGGUAGGCGGAAUUGACGGUGUAGCGGUGAAAUGCUUAGAUAUCGUCAAGAACACCAAUAGUGAAGACAGCUUACUAGGCUUAUACUGACGCUGAGGCACGAAAGUGUGGGGAUCAAACAGG
rnacentral:rRNA from 1 species